rnacentral:rRNA from 1 species
UACGUAGGGUGCGAGCGUUAAUCGGAAUUACUGGGCGUAAAGUGUGCGCAGGCGGCCGCGCAAGUCGAGUGUGAAAGCCCCGAGCUUAACUUGGGAACUGCGCUCGAAACUACGUGGCUGGAGUGUGGCAGAGGAAGGUGGAAUUCCACGUGUAGCGGUGAAAUGCGUAGAGAUGUGGAGGAACACCAGUGGCGAAGGCGGCUUCCUGGACCGGUUCUGACACUGAGGAGCGAAAGCGUGGGGAGCGAUCCGG